rnacentral:rRNA from 1 species
UCGAGGGGCAGCAUCGCGAUAGCUUGCUAUUGCGGAUGGCGACCGGCGCACGGGUGAGUAACACGUAUCCAACCUGCCGUCUACUCUUGGACAGCCUUCUGAAAGAAAGAUUAAUACCCGAUGGUAUAACAUGACCUCCUGGUUUUGUUAUUAAAGAAUUUCGGUAGAGGAUGGGGAUGCGUUCCAUUAGAUAGUAGGCGGGGUAACGGCCCACCUAGUCAACGAUGGAUAGGGGUUCUGAGAGGAAGGUCCCCACAUUGGAACUGAGACACGGUCCAAACUCC